GGUAAGAUGGCUGAGCAAUAAGCGGUGGAUUGUAGCCCCAUAAACAGAGGUUUGAGUCCUCUUCUUACCA
rnacentral:tRNA from 1 species